rnacentral:rRNA from 1 species
ACUAUGCCUAGUCGUAAACUUUAACUUACCCCUCCAAUCCGCCCGGGAACUACGAGCUAAGCUUAAAACCCAAAGGACUUGACGGUACCCCACAUCCCCCUAGAGGAGCCUGUCCUAUAAUCGAUAACCCCCGCUUAACCUCACCAUUUUUUGCUAAUCAGCCUGUAUACCUCCGUCGUCAGCUUACCACGUGAGCGUCAGUGAGCUUAAUGUUUUUCCAACUAUACGUCAGGUCAAGGUGCAACAUAUAAAAUGGAAAGAGAUGGGCUACACUUUCUACCAUAGAAUAAACGAAAGACUAAAUGAAACCUAGUCAGAAGGUGGAUUUAGCAGUAAGGUGAAACUAGAGCGUUCACUUAAAUACGGCACUGGGGUGUGUACACACCGCCCGUCACCCUCCUCA